rnacentral:lncRNA from 1 species
CUCGUCAAUGUUCAACUCAAAUCUCGCGCCGUCUUUGGACGAAGUAUAAACUGCAAAAUUAUUAUUUGCCAAAGGCUUGGACUCCAUGUUAUUAAAGCCAUCGCAAUAGCUUUCCGUACAAACACAAACGAAAGAAUCGGAGCUAAAGGCUUGUCGUUUGCACGAAGUAUAGUUGAACACUUGAACACACAAGAUGAGCUCCGUAAAAUGCAAAAUAACGAGGAAAGACAGAAAAAUGUGCUUCGGUGAGCCCAUUAUGCAUAUUUGUGAAUUGUGACAUGUGAUCCAAUUAUUGCGCAAUACACAGUAAUUCUCCGAUCCGAGAUAUCGUCAUCAAUUUCCC